rnacentral:rRNA from 1 species
GUGACAGCCGCCGCGGUAAGACGGAGGGCGCAAGCGUUGUUCGGAAUUACUGGGCGUAAAGCGCGCGCAGGCGAGAAGGUAAGUCUGGAGUGAAAUUCCGGGGCUCAACUCCGGAGCUGCUUUGGAUACUGUCUUUCUAGGGACCGGUAGAGGCCGGUGGAAUUCCCGGUGUAGCGGUGGAAUGCGUAGAGAUCGGGAAGAACACCCGUGGCGAAGGCGGCCGGCUGGGCCGGAUCCGACGCUGAGGCGCGAAAGCGUGGGGAGCAAACAGGAUUAGAUACCCCAGUAGUCC